rnacentral:rRNA from 1 species
GGCGGCAGGCCUAACACAUGCAAGUCGAGCGGUAGAGAGAAGCUUGCUUCUCUUGAGAGCGGCGGACGGGUGAGUAAUGCCUAGGAAUCUGCCUGGUAGUGGGGGAUAACGCUCGGAAACGGACGCUAAUACCGCAUACGUCCUACGGGAGAAAGCAGGGGACCUUCGGGCCUUGCGCUAUCAGAUGAGCCUAGGUCGGAUUAGCUAGUUGGUGAGGUAAUGGCUCACCAAGGCGACGAUCCGUAACUGGUCUGAGAGGAUGAUCAGUCACACUGGAACUGAGACACGGUCCACACUCCUACGGGAGGCAGCAGUGGGGAAUAUUGGACAAUGGGCGAAAGCCUGAUCCAGCCAUGCCGCGUGUGUGAAGAAGGUCUUCGGAUUGUAAAGCACUUUAAGUUGGGAGGAAGGGUUGUAACCUAAUACGUUGCAAUCUUGACGUUACCGACAGAAUAAGCACCGGCUAACUCUGUGCCAGCAGCCGCGGUAAUACAGAGGGUGCAAGCGUUAAUCGGAAUUACUGGGCGUAAAGCGCGCGUAG